rnacentral:rRNA from 1 species
GAUGAACGCUGGCGGCGUGCCUAAUACAUGCAAGUCGAGCGAACAGAUGAGGAGCUUGCUCCUCUUACGUUAGCGGCGGACGGGUGAGUAACACGUGGCUAACCUACCUAUAAGACUGGGAUAACUUCGGGAAACCGGAGCUCAUACCGGAUAAUAUAUUGAACCGCAUGGUUCAAUAGUGAAAGACGGUUUUGCUGUCACUUAUAGAUGGAUCCGCGCCGCAUUAGCUAGUUGGUAAGGUAACGGCUUACCAAGGCAACGAUGCGUAGCCGACCUGAGAGGGUGAUCGGCCACACUGGAACUGAGACACGGUCCAGACUCCUACGGGAGGCAGCAGUAGGGAAUCUUCCGCAAUGGGCGAAAGCCUGACGGAGCAACGCCGCGUGAGUGAUGAAGGUCUUCGGAUCGUAAAACUCUGUUAUUAGGGAAGAACAAAUGUGUAAGUAACUAUGCACGUCUUGACGGUACCUAAUCAGAAAGCCACGGCUAACUACGUG